GUCUAUGGCCAUGCCACCCUGAACAAGUCCAAUUCUGUCUGAUCUUGGAAGCUAAGCAAGGUCGGGCCUGGUUAGUACUUGGAUGAGAGACCACCUAAGAAGACAAGGAGCUGUAGGCA
rnacentral:rRNA from 1 species